GGUGAAGUGAGAUGGUAGUCGUCGCUAAGUAGACCAAGGAGCGGGUACUGGUUCCUGUACCUACAGAGCCAAACAAAUGGACAGGCCUCCCUUAAGGACUCAUUCUGGUGAGCUGCAUGAUGUGUGACUGCUGUACCUCUUGGUGAUGACCGUCUUGGUGACGUUCUUGGAGCUGUCGUUCCUCUCCAUCAUCAGUUUUCUGAUCUCCUGUGGACCAAGAUGGUUCAAAGUCAGCAAACUUUAAUCAGUUUCAGAAAAAAACAGCUGUGUAACAUUAAAUUAAAUCAAUAAAUAACUUAUUCUAUGAGUGUAACCAUAAUAUGCCUAAUAUGCCUCCCGUAUGUUUAAAGAAAUUCCUCUGUAUUUUACAGCCACCCGUUUUCAAAUUAAAUGGUAAAUGGUAAA